UACGGAGGGUGCAAGCGUUAUCCGGAUUCACUGGGUUUAAAGGGUGCGUAGGUGGGCUUGUAAGUCAGUGGUGAAAUCUUCGAGCUUAACUUGGAAACUGCCAUUGAUACUAUUAGUCUUGAAUUCUGUGGAGGUAAGCGGAAUAUAUCAUGUAGCGGUGAAAUGCUUAGAUAUGAUAUAGAACACCGAUAGCGAAGGCAGCUUACUACGCAGACAUUGACACUGAGGCACGAAAGCGUGGGGAUCAAACAGG
rnacentral:rRNA from 1 species